CCGAGGAAAAGAAAUCAACCGAGAUUCCCCCAGUAGCGGCGAGCGAACGGGGAGCAGCCCAGAGCCUGAAUCAGUGUGUGUGUUAGUGGAAGCGUCUGGAAAGGCGCGCGAUACAGGGUGACAGCCCCGUACACAAAAAUGCACAUAUUGUGAGCUCGAUGAGUAGGGCGGGACACGUGGUAUCCUGUCUGAAUAUGGGGGGACCAUCCUCCAAGGCUAAAUACUCCUGACUGACCGAUAGUGAACCAGUACCGUGAGGGAAAGGCGAAAAGAACCCCGGCGAGGGGAGUGAAAAAGAACCUGAAACCGUGUACGUACAAGCAGUGGGAGCACGCUUAGGCGUGUGACUGCGUACCUUUUGUAUAAUGGGUCAGCGACUUAUAUUCUGUAGCAAGGUUAACCGAAUAGGGGAGCCGAAGGGAAACCGAGUCUUAACUGGGCGUUAAGUUGCAGGGUAUAGACCCGAAACCCGGUGAUCUAGCCAUGGGCAGGUUGAAGGUUGGGUAACACUAACUGGAGGACCGAACCGACUAAUGUUGAAAAAUUAGCGGAUGACUUGUGGCUGGGGGUGAAAGGCCAAUCAAACCGGGAGAUAGCUGGUUCUCCCCGAAAGCUAUUUAGGUAGCGCCUCGUGAAUUCAUCUCCGGGGGUAGAGCACUGUUUCGGCAAGGGGGUCAUCCCGACUUACCAACCCGAUGCAAACUGCGAAUACCGGAGAAUGUUAUCACGGGAGACACACGGCGGGUGCUAACGUCCGUCGUGAAGAGGGAAACAACCCAGACCGCCAGCUAAGGUCCCAAAGUCAUGGUUAAGUGGGAAACGAUGUGGGAAGGCCCAGACAGCCAGGAUGUUGGCUUAGAAGCAGCCAUCAUUUAAAGAAAGCGUAAUAGCUCACUGGUCGAGUCGGCCUGCGCGGAAGAUGUAACGGGGCUAAACCAUGCACCGAAGCUGCGGCAGCGACGCUGAUGCGUUGUUGGGUAGGGGAGCGUUCUGUAAGCCUGUGAAGGUGUGCUGUGAGGCAUGCUGGAGGUAUCAGAAGUGCGAAUGCUGACAUAAGUAACGAUAAAGCGGGUGAAAAGCCCGCUCGCCGGAAGACCAAGGGUUCCUGUCCAACGUUAAUCGGGGCAGGGUGAGUCGACCCCUAAGGCGAGGCCGAAAGGCGUAGUCGAUGGGAAACAGGUUAAUAUUCCUGUACUUGGUGUUACUGCGAAGGGGGGACGGAGAAGGCUAUGUUGGCCGGGCGACGGUUGUCCCGGUUUAAGCGUGUAGGCUGGUUUUCCAGGCAAAUCCGGAAAAUCAAGGCUGAGGCGUGAUGACGAGGCACUACGGUGCUGAAGCAACAAAUGCCCUGCUUCCAGGAAAAGCCUCUAAGCAUCAGGUAACAUCAAAUCGUACCCCAAACCGACACAGGUGGUCAGGUAGAGAAUACCAAGGCGCUUGAGAGAACUCGGGUGAAGGAACUAGGCAAAAUGGUGCCGUAACUUCGGGAGAAGGCACGCUGAUAUGUAGGUGAAGCGACUUGCUCGUGGAGCUGAAAUCAGUCGAAGAUACCAGCUGGCUGCAACUGUUUAUUAAAAACACAGCACUGUGCAAACACGAAAGUGGACGUAUACGGUGUGACGCCUGCCCGGUGCCGGAAGGUUAAUUGAUGGGGUCAGCGCAAGCGAAGCUCUUGAUCGAAGCCCCGGUAAACGGCGGCCGUAACUAUAACGGUCCUAAGGUAGCGAAAUUCCUUGUCGGGUAAGUUCCGACCUGCACGAAUGGCGUAAUGAUGGCCAGGCUGUCUCCACCCGAGACUCAGUGAAAUUGAACUCGCUGUGAAGAUGCAGUGUACCCGCGGCAAGACGGAAAGACCCCGUGAACCUUUACUAUAGCUUGACACUGAACAUUGAGCCUUGAUGUGUAGGAUAGGUGGGAGGCUUUGAAGUGUGGACGCCAGUCUGCAUGGAGCCGACCUUGAAAUACCACCCUUUAAUGUUUGAUGUUCUAACGUUGACCCGUAAUCCGGGUUGCGGACAGUGUCUGGUGGGUAGUUUGACUGGGGCGGUCUCCUCCUAAAGAGUAACGGAGGAGCACGAAGGUUGGCUAAUCCUGGUCGGACAUCAGGAGGUUAGUGCAAUGGCAUAAGCCAGCUUGACUGCGAGCGUGACGGCGCGAGCAGGUGCGAAAGCAGGUCAUAGUGAUCCGGUGGUUCUGAAUGGAAGGGCCAUCGCUCAACGGAUAAAAGGUACUCCGGGGAUAACAGGCUGAUACCGCCCAAGAGUUCAUAUCGACGGCGGUGUUUGGCACCUCGAUGUCGGCUCAUCACAUCCUGGGGCUGAAGUAGGUCCCAAGGGUAUGGCUGUUCGCCAUUUAAAGUGGUACGCGAGCUGGGUUUAGAACGUCGUGAGACAGUUCGGUCCCUAUCUGCCGUGGGCGCUGGAGAACUGAGGGGGGCUGCUCCUAGUACGAGAGGACCGGAGUGGACGCAUCACUGGUGUUCGGGUUGUCAUGCCAAUGGCACUGCCCGGUAGCUAAAUGCGGAAGAGAUAAGUGCUGAAAGCAUCUAAGCACGAAACUUGCCCCGAGAUGAGUUCUCCCUGACCCUUUAAGGGUCCUGAAGGAACGUUGAAGACGACGACGUUGAUAGGCCGGGUGUGUAAGCGCAG
rnacentral:rRNA from 1 species